rnacentral:misc_RNA from 1 species
UGGUACUCUCCAAUGCCAGCCCAUUGGGAUUUGAACCUUAGACAUCUUAUUUGGAUAUCCAAGUUCAAAUUGUUAGGGUCUCCCUUUGAAAUGAUAUCUAUUGAUGAGAAAUGUGUUUAUGCAAUAUGGUUGAAGUUAGAUUGCUAGGGUCUGCCAUAUUGUUGUUGUAUAGAAGUUGAGGAUUUUGUAGAAGCAGAGACAGAUGGGAGAAAUUAAGGUCUCAUUCUGUUUGCAUUGAUUUUUUGUGAUGCUUAGUUUCCUUAUUGUAUUCCUAUGACAUGAAAGAUUUCAGCUUUCUUUUUUUCUUCAUUUACAACAAUUAUGCAAACAAGUGUUUUUCUUAGUGGACCUUUGAGGUUCUCUCAGCAUACAACACAAAUCUGCAAAGCCAUAGACAGCUAGAGACACAUCCAAAUUAGUAGGGAGUUGCUGUUGUUGAUACUUCCUAUGCAAAUGUGAUUAUUGUUUGCUUUCUCAAUUUUGCUUUGACCUAAGUGGUCAUGGAUGAAUUGGAUAAUUGGAAACAAAAUAGAAGGCUUCUCUUUCAUUUCAAGUUUUUAUAAUGUCUCGAGUUACUUUUUGUAUCAUUUGAUUAUACUUAUACAUCUUUGAGUUGGAGAAAAAGUUGAGUACACUAUGAGUUGGAUGAGACAUAUAUUAAAUGAUUGUACACAUUGUUAGCAGUUACAAUUGUUUUUGAAAUGAUCAAUUAUUGAUGCAUGAAUCAGCCAAAGCCUAAAAUUGAUUACGUUUUGAAAGCUGUUGGUGGAAGCUUAACAGCCAUUCCUGGACUAUCAGAUAUGAUUGAUGACACUGUGCAUUCAAUUGUCACA